UGUAAUCAUAUCGGAUGUUGCUAAAACCUCGUCUAUUUAUUUAAACUCCCACCGCCGCCGUAGAAAGCCAAGGAUCUAAAAAAACACUAUGCCUACCGCCGUCGUGAACAACACGGCCGCGAAAAUAGCGGUCGUUUCACGCUUCGUCGCUGUUUCCACCGGAAGGAGAUAUGACGGCACGAAUAAGUUCGAGAUUCCGGCGAAUGGUCGGAAGAACAUUCCGUCCAGCGUCUUCACCAAGGAGACGAUUGGGGAGCUGGCGCCUCUUGAGGUACAUAUCGAGAUCGGCGGAAUAACGCGCAGAGUACUGAAACACGAAGAUUUCGAGAACAACAAGGCCAUUAUCUUCGACGGCGGUUGUGACGGCGGUCUGGGGAUGAGGUUUGUCCGGCAGGAGGUGGAAAGAGGAUUUCUCUGCUUCUGUGGAAUUGUACCAUUUGGGAGAUUGGGAAAUGAUGUUGCAGCUCCUCAGGAUGAACAGAGCUGCACGAACAUUUUCAGAGAAAGAGCAUAACUGCAUGGAUCGAAGUGUCCGAUAAAUCUUGUACUCAGUGAGUAGUGACAUGGGAACAAUCUUGAUGUCCAAUAUACCUACCCGUAACUCAUCCCGUUGAAUCUUGAAAGGCCAAAGUGGUUUGAUUUCAGCUUGCCAUUGGGAUGUGCAGUGAGUAAAAAGUUCCGUGCAGUAUGCAAAGUUUUCCCUCCCUCCCUCUCUUUCUCUCUCUCUUAUAUAUAGAUAUGUAUAUGUAUGUCUAGUGUGUAAAAAAUGUAUUGUAAAAUGACUGCAAUUUAUUGAUAUAUUAUGCAGCAGAUGGUUGGUGAAUUAGUUUAUCAAGAGACUUGUGAUGUUUAUUAUUGAA